rnacentral:rRNA from 1 species
UACAGAGGGUGCGAGCGUUAAUCGGAAUUACUGGGCGUAAAGCGUGCGUAGACGGUUAUUUAAGUCGGAUGUGAAAGCCCCGGGCUCAACCUGGGAAUUGCAUUCGAGACUGAAUAGCUAGGGUACGGUAGAGGGAAGCGGAAUUUCCGGUGUAGCGGUGAAAUGCGCAGAUAUCGGGAGGAACACCAGCGGCGAAGGCGGCACUCUGGGCUGGUACUGACGCUGAGGAGCGAAAGCGUGGGUAGCAAACAGG